rnacentral:miRNA from 1 species
CCUGUGCGCAGGGGGCACCCUCACUGAAUGCUACCCCUGCUAGACCGAGGCUCCUUGAAGACAGGUCUACACUCACCUCCUG